GACGAACGCUGGCGGCGUGCUUAACACAUGCAAGUCGAGCGGAAAGGCCCUUCGGGGUACUCGAGCGGCGAACGGGUGAGUAACACGUGAGUAACCUGCCCCAGACUUUGGGAUAACCCCCGGAAACGGGGGCUAAUACCGGAUACGACACAGCUUCGCAUGGGGUCUGUGUGGAAAGUUUUUCGGUUUGGGAUGGGCUCGCGGCCUAUCAGCUUGUUGGUGGGGUGAUGGCCUACCAAGGCGACGACGGGUAGCCGGCCUGAGAGGGCGACCGUCCACACUGGGACUGAGACACGGCCCAGACUCCUACGGGAGGCAGCAGUGGGGAAUAUUGCACAAUGGGCGGAAGCCUGAUGCAGCGACGCCGCGUGAGGGAUGACGGCCUUCGGGUUGUAAACCUCUUUCAGCAGGGACGAAGCGUAAGUGACGGUACCUGCAGAAGAAGCGCCGGCCAACUACGUG
rnacentral:rRNA from 1 species